rnacentral:rRNA from 1 species
UACGAAGGGGGCUAGCGUUGCUCGGAAUCACUGGGCGUAAAGGGUGCGUAGGCGGGUCUUUUAAGUCAGGGGUGAAAUCCUGGAGCUCAACUCCAGAACUGCCUUUGAUACUGAGGAUCUUGAGUUCGGGAGAGGGAUGCGGAAUUCCAGGUGUAGCGGUGAAAUGCGUAGAUAUCUGGAGGAACACCGGUGGCGAAGGCGGCAUCCUGGACCGACACUGACGCUGAGGAGCGAAAGCCAGGGGAGCAAACGGG